rnacentral:lncRNA from 1 species
AAUGAUGUUGUAUUAUCAAGAAAUUUGUCGUACUAGUACAUUAUUCCAUGAUGCAGUCUGCUAAUAUAGCUUACUGCAAACUAUUUUAAACCAGGUUGGUCGGGCAAUCUGGUGCUUAUCUGCUGGGAUUUUGAAUUGAAUAUGUGUGGAAUUUCUGGUAGCUAUGUGGAUCUAUUGGCUCCGAAAACUGAUACCCCAGUGUCUACAAUUUGUUGCCAUGUAGGGUAUGAUAUAAAUCUCAGAUUUUCUUGUUUAAUUAGUCACAAUUGUUAAUUUGUUAAUGGCUUCAUGUAUGCAGCUCAAGCGUCUCUCCUUCAUCAGGUAAAAUGUCAACCUGAAAAUCGUCUAGGCAGCAGGGUACAUCCCCAAGAGGCCCAAUUGCAGGUACAGAUAAUAAAACACAUCUUUGUAACUUUCUAAGCAACACACGAGUAGAAAAUUGCUGUAUCCAGAAGUGAGGCUAGACAUGCUUGCUAUUACUUAUUUCAAGCUUGAGCUUUUAGUUUCUGUUGAUGUGACCACAAGGUUGUUUUUUGUGUAUAUUAAUCUGACGGAACUAUAUGACGCCAAUGAUGGAUGGCUUGGAUGCAGUACUUUAACCUAAAAUUUAACCUGAAGAGCAUCUCUUAUUUGUGCCCUGUUUCUAGAAUAUUUUAAAUAUUUGAAUGUUAUGACAAAUGAAAUCAAACUAUUUCUUGUACCAUUGGUGGUUUAAUGUUUCAAUUGUUCCCAUUGGGGUGGCCUCAUAGUUUUCUGAGAAAGAAAUAUGAUCUGGAGAAGCAAAUGUCAAGUUCAUCUGUUCGUACCGAAGUUGUAGAAGUAACUAGAAGUGAUCAUUUUGUCGGUGUGGAACGACACCUAUGGGAUCACAAGAAUCCCUCCUACGGUUGCCGGGGCGCAGGGUUGCGAGAAGAGCAGGAUUAGUAAUCAACACAAGGAUCGUUUACCCAGGUUCGGGCCGCGAAGAUGCGUAAAACCCUAGUCCCGCUUUGGUGGGUGUAUUUCAGAGAGUUCUUGACCUCUCAAACUAGCUAUGGUGGGGUGUGUGGUUCCAAAGAACCGAAUCCUUCUCCAGUAUGCCAUGGGCCUCCUUUUAUAGUCAAAAGGGGCUGCCACAGUGGCAUACAGGAGGUGGAAAGGCGUAGAGUAUUGCGAUCUUAUCGCUCGUAUUACAGGACAAGUCGCAUUUAAUGCGCUGCUGAUGUGUCCCCUAGCUUUAUUGGGGACGGAGGCAACGCCCGUCCCGUCCGUCGCCGCUCCUUCUUGCUUUGACACGCGCCCCGGCUAGUGACGCGUGCGGCGCCAUGUAGGCAGGCAGGCAGCUGAGGUGGCGCGGUGGCAAGGCCUCUACGAAGAUCUGCAUGCCGCCACGCAGGCGCUUGCUGAGUUGGCUUGGAAGCUGCAUGUUGCCACGCAGGUGCUUGCCCAGCUGGUUGGGCUGGCAGCUGCAUGCGAACGGCGGUGGAAACUUGGUGCGGGCCUGGCAGUGGCCCUGCUGGCGCCCCCGGCAAGGGCCUUGCCGUGGCGCGCUGUCGUCCCCGGCAAGGAUCUUGCCGGGGGUCUCGUGGUUCCCCUCAGCAAGGAUCUUGCCGAGGAUCGCCGCCUUCUAAUCCUCAUCUGAUCUUGAAUAUUCCUUGUCUUCACAAAGAUCUGCAUGCCACCACAGAGGUGCCUCCCGAGCCCUAGCCCAACGUGGAUGAUGGUGUUGGGGACGUGGUCUCAAGGGUGGCUCGCUCUGUUGGUGUUUGACGGGCCGCCCCGGCAAGGGGCUUGCCGUGGGAGCCUGCUUCGUCCUUCUGCUCUUUAUAGUCUUGGUCUUGGCGUUGUUCUGGCUGCCUUGGGCUUCGGUUUUACCUCGGUUCACCUCCUCUGCUCUGCUUGGUGUGGACGUGGGCGCGGCUCCGAAUGCCCGUGCACAGGUAAAGGGGUACAAAGGUGCGCCCCUUCUUUUGUACACCGAUAAUUUUUUCUGGGCACUAGCUCUCUUCUAGUAGAACACAAUCUAUACUGCUGGUUUGUCAUGUUUGUUGGCCGUUAGAAAAUUAUAAUUAUAUAUUUAGUUCAAAUUAUGGAAACCUAGCUAAAAUUUCCAAUCCAUGUAGACACCAGAAAUUAUUGUGAACAUAGACCUAAUAUUGACGUGACGUGCGCUAACAACAAGCAAACAAACUGUUUGAUUUGUGUCUUGUUGCACACCGGUCAAAAUUUAACCGCUACUAUGUUCAAUCGAUAUAUUUGUCUAGGCAUUCUCCCUUUGCCGACAUAUAUAUAGGAUUUACUUUGUUUAUUGAAAAUAUUUCUAUAAACGUAUGUUGAUACUUUUUAUACUUAUAUUAAAAAUCCCUGGGUUCAUAGUUACUGUACACCUUCUACUCAAUAUUUGACAGAGUAAUAAAAGAUGGUUGAUAAAUAUGUUGCUCUGAACCUUGGUUUAUUAAGUGGCGGAGCUUUGACAGGGCGAACCUGGGCAGGCCAGGUCAUUUACUUAGAAGACGAGCACUCCACCAGGCUGUUUCUCAAUGUAUCAUUUUGGUCUCUUGUAGUAAACAACUGUGUGGUUAAGUAGUAUUUUGGUACUUACCUCAAAAGAAGGUUGUAUUUUGGUAGUACCCUGUUUUGGAGAAGCUUUUAUAUGUAAUUGGUGUUAGAAAUGUAUUUUGUAAGAAGAUAGGAUCAAUAUGCUUAACAUGCUACAAAUUGUAACUUGUGGUCGUACUUUGGUAUUUCAAAAACAAAAUCAUAUCACUUUGUAGCCCCCCUCCCCCUUGAAAUUUUUGUUCAGAUUUUGAAAAAUAGGGAAGCUAGAGAGGCUAGAGUUUGU